ensembl:lncRNA
AGCGGUGGAGGGCUGCGGGAGCGGAGCGGGCAGAGCGCGGUGUAACGCGACGUGACGGAGGGACUGUAUGGCAGAUACAAACAGGGCUGGGAUGGGAAGUCAUAGAUAAAGGAAGCACGGCCAAAAAAAAAAAAAAAAAAAAAAAGAGGAGGUGCGAGCCAGAAACGGGAGCUGCGAUGGAAAGUAAUAAAUGCACGAGGGUAGCGCUCCAAGUCUUCACGAUGUGUUAACUCUGUCCCUUUGAGUCACUGCAUCAGCUGUACCAGGAUUCUCUGACUCCUUUUCAAGCACUGCUCCCAGCCAGACUCCAUGCUGUUCUCAUCCACACAACGCAGGGGAUGAGAGCUGCUGCAAAAUAAUGCCACUGUGGCCAAUGGCUGAGCAUCAGUUACCUUCUGCAGCACAGCAAACGCAGCUCAGGAGCUCCUGGAAUUUGGUUUAUGCUGAACCCAUUUGUGUAUAUAUAUAUAUAUAUAAAAGCACACUUCCGUUUUCAAAAUACGUUGCUACCCAAAAAUAGAUGUUUCUUCAACAGCAGAGCACGGAGCAAUUGCUAAGCCAUGCAAGCAAAACACCAUGUACAGCCAGAGGACUGCAAAAGAACUCACUCUUGCUUACUGCAUAGUAGAAUUUUUUGGAAUUAAUACCUGAUUUUUCACCCACUGUGGAAAAAAAAAUAGGAACAUUACAGCGCCAGCUUCUGCCCUGGUUCCUUUUGCCCCCAAACAUCUCUGCAAUCACAUCCUGAAGUGCUGUACCUGCUAGUUUUUUUUCCAAACAUGAAGCAUUUCAUCCUCUAGGCAGAGGGCUUCAGUCUUCCAGGCUGUGAAACAGAACAUUUCAGGGGAAUAAGAUGAAAAAAAAGAAAAGCCCCCCAGCCCCACCUGAUUUGACUACUGCAAAGGAUACAAACCUCCUGGGAGUGGAGAGAUCACUGUAUCCUGUAUGUUGCCAUGUUUAACACACAGCUGCAGGGCGUUACCUCUCCAUGAAAAGGCCCACGUGCAAUGCCCAGCAGGAAUGACAGAAAUCACGCUGGAGAAGUCACAGGACAAGGGUUUAAAACAGUGCAACUCUGUGAGUUGAAGGCUGCUCUUCUUCACAUCCCCAAUCACAUCUGAUUGUCAUGCCCAGAGCAAAAUAAAUAGCAAGCCAGCUAUCUUCAAUGCUUUUGAUUCAUCAUGUUGGCACCGAAGUCACUUCACUGUGUUCUAAAUGAAGCAGACUGAGCGCACGCUUGUGCCCUUAUUGCUCUCUCACUUCAGGGAAAGGCAAAGAAGAAAAGUACUUGUGCGUGGAGAUGUAUUUGAAAGGAGAACAGUUUCUUGGCUAGCUUUGGCUUUCAUUUUAUAUCACCAAUAGCACUGCAUAACACAAUGCAUGCUUAUGCUUUUUUACCUCUUUGGCAUAAUAGGAAAGCUUAAAAGGCUGCAGUGUCCCCCCGCUGGAAGAGGAGCAGAGGUUUCUAUCACUCACUUGCUUUUUGCACCAGAAAUUCAGGUUUUGUUUAGCUUGGAAACCUCACAGAUGUCGUUCUGGUAACUCUUCAAUCCAAAGCGUGUGGCGGUAGAAGUCCAACACUCCCAAGGAAGCCCUCAGUUAUCCCAAACUGCCACAGAAAAGUAGUACAAUUCCCACAGGGUACAGUGGCCUGAAAAACAUGAAGGCAUCCCAAACAGUUUGUUGGUCCCCUGUACCUGCAGGCCAGCAGAGGCCACCAAUCAGCACCAGGCAUAUCUCCAAAUACAUCCCUAACAAGAGGAUAAAAUGAACGUCCUAUCCAGGCUGGUUUAAUUCAAACACAGAUGAGCCUUUUUAGGAACACAAGCAAUUGGCAGUUUUCACAUACACCACGCACCAGCUUCUCCCAGCUCUCCAUCACACUAUGAAAUCUGGCCUGGACAUCUCAUACUUACCCCUCAGCUAAAUUUUUGCCAGAAAAAGCAUAACGUCACAGCUGUGCUCCAAAUCACUGCAGCAACCAGGCAAUGAAAUCACCACUCAGAAAGUGUUGCUCCAGCUUAGCAGGGUAGGGCCCCUCCAUUGGUCAGCCAGUGGCACUCACGCAACACCAUAGCCAAUAUUCUCAUUGAUGAAGGCUAAUGAGGAGGUGCCAAUACCUGCUCUCCUUGCUCACAAGUGACUGCUUGGACUGUGCACAUUGAAGUCAUGGUGACCUAGGAGAGAUCAGAACCAGCUGCUUUUGAUUACCUUCUGCCACACAACAAAAGAAACUACACCCAGAAAGGAAGCAUACUCCUUCCUUCUGGCAAGUAAGCACAACUUUGAGGAAUUGAGUAAUAAAGCUGUGGCAUCUCGUGGGAGCAAGCUCACAGGAAAAAUAGUUCAAGGGGACCCUGAUCUUCAGCAACACCAUUUAGCACGUUGCAACGCUCCCUCUGACGUCUGUGCAUUACAUUUGCCUGAGCAAAAUGAGAAGUAAUAAACUAUUGCGUGUAGGUCCGUUUGCUGGUAGGGAAAGGGGCCCCACAGUUUUACUCCCUGGAGGCACCAGCUCUCCCCACCCCUUUUGUGUGUAUUUUUUUUUUUUUUUAAUGUGCCACACAUCAGCACAAUGCUGACAACUGCAUUGUAUGCUUUUCUGCCUAUGCAGCACUUCAAGAACACACAACUCUGGAAGGUUUUUGAAACGGGAAAGGGGGAGGGAGCUGUCCUUUGCUAUCUCAUUUUAAUUGCACAGCUCGCUCCUCUACAUGACCACAGGGAAGGGAUAAAAAUAAACGGUUAAAACCAGUACUGUUUUUAUCAUCCAAAAGGGUCAGACUAAGUCUUCUCACGAGAUACAGUCAGUUGUGCUUAGAAUAAAAGCUACCACGAGCAAGGAUAAAAAAGCACAGGGUUUCUUCUCUGGCACUGGAACCUCCCCUGUCCUCCUCACUGUUGUUUCGGUCUCCUCCUUUCCACACCUUCCAGUGCAGAGAUACUGAAAAGGGAAUAGGGAUGGAAGGGGACCAACAGCCAGCCCUCCAGCUUUUGCACCUGCCAGCAGCAGCCUGAUGGAGCCUGGUGGCACUGCUCCAGGAGCAGCGACCCGAGCACAUUACCUCCCAAAUAAACGAAUGGUUAACAUCUCACACACAGCAGCACAUGCAGCCUCAUUUAAUGAUGAAGAUGGCUAAUCCACAGCCUUUUUUUUUUUAAUUAUUAUUAUUUUUUUUUAAAAUAAGGCCACAAGGCAGAGCUUCUUCCAGAAGCAGCAGCCUUUUCUUUUGAAAAACAGUACUGGGUGGGAAGGGGAAGCCCUGGGACCCACUCAUGCCCUCCAGAAGUAACCACAGAAACAUUGUGGCUUUCUGUGGCGGUGUACAGCACACACACAGCCAGAGCACUGUGCCUUACCCUCCUCAGCAAGGCCAGUCCCCACUGCCCAGCUUGCUGCAUGUUUACAAUACUCACAGAGAAGCUAUCUGCUGUAGAGUGGGAGUUACACAAACAAUCCUGCAUUUCCCUGGGAGGAAAAAAAUAUAUAUACAAAAAUUAGGGCAGAAGGCAGCUUUCACCCACAACAUUGCAACAUUCCCCUGCACUACUCGGGUCAGGGAGGGGAUGCAGGGUUGUGUAAUUGAAGUGGAGCAUCUGCAUUAGCUCAGUGGGCCCUGUCCCCUGGGCAAUGUCACGUGGACUCGCAUGGAGACACAUUAGUGCUCGCAGCCUGCCUUAAUGCAAAGCUGUGGUCAGACCGCAGCGGAGCCAGCACUAAAGGAGGUCACCUGGGGACUACAAAAAAGCAAUGAAUUAAAAAAUAAUAAUAAUAAUAAUCUAUAAGCAGAUGUUUACUGACAAGCAGGCAAGUCCGAAUCCUCAAUCUGCAAAAAGCAAGGAGGAGCACAGAGCAGGCUGAGAAAUAGCAGCCUGGUUCCCAAGACAAAGACAAAUAUCUGCAUCUACAGACAGCACCAAACAGAUUGAGGUUACAGCUUUUACCAGCCUCCCUCCUCCCGGCUUUGCAGCCCUGAAACCCACCGGAUCUGCCGUUAUUGGAGCACACACCGACUGCAGCUCUCCCUGAUUUUUGGUGGCACCGUGGAAAUACUUACCCACCUCACAGGCAGGGCUGUGAAAGCUUACAUUUGUGAGAGUUUGCAAAUGGUUUUGAAAGCCUUCCAAGGAAGGUGCUGUAGAAUCGUAAAUCCUUCCCAUUAUUAAUAAAAUGGAGCUAUUGUUCCAGCUCUAAUCGAGACUUGUCUCCAGCUGGGCAAAUUUAAAAUGCAGUUCAAAGCAUACACACACACACACACACACAAAACGAUCAUAAGGAAGCUGCAACAUGGGCUGAAAAUAAUAAUUAAAUAAAAAUAAU